CCUGCGCUGGAAUGGUUUUAUGGGGCGUUUCAAGGACGCCGAGCGCGACUGGUGGGCCGGUUUGGCCGAGGUUCAGGUCCCGGCACUGGU
rnacentral:tRNA from 2 species